rnacentral:lncRNA from 1 species
CCAGUUUUCUCCUUGCUAAAAUUCAGAUUAAAGAGAAGGUAUUAUUUAGCAUGCCAUGCGCAUUGACCCAUUUUUGAAUUUCAAAAUGAGAAAGAGAAAAAGAACUCUUAACAUUUUCACUUAGUUCCCUUUGUCUUUCUUAAUGCAGUAGUCACUUUGUUCAGCUGGGGCUCAUCAACAGAGGAGAGAAGUAAGAGUGCCUGGAGUCCUGGCUGGCUUGGUGAUUGAAACACUGCCUAUUACAUGCCAAUGUCAAAGGCACCAACACUGAUCACAUAGUGGCCAAAGGUCAAUGAAAGCAGCAGGAGCUGGUGAGGAGGGAGGGACUUGGGAUCAAUGCUCAAGCACCGCCAGCUCUGGCAACUCCCUAAAGACAGCCCAGGACCCUGGGCUUAGUGUGCGGCUAGAAAGAAACCAAGAGAAGAUGAGCUGCUUCUCUGCUGGGACCUGUUGGUCAUCAAUCAUCAGUGCAGGGUCCAGCACAUAGAAAUCACUCCAUUCACUGACUGAAAAUUGAAAGAGAUGGUUGGGACACGCUUCCAUGGCAUGAUAUGGGGAUGCAAUAGAGCCCUAUGUGACCCCAAACAACCCCAAGAACACCUGAAAAGGAGACAGAAGCCAAUGAAGGGAAGACACAAAAUACGACUCUUCAUUCCAGUCUCUAUAGUCAGCCAGUAUUCAUUGAGUGCUUUUUCUGUGCUGGGUGGGGUGCUGAGGAGGGGAGAAAGACAAGAUUUUUUGGAGCUUUGGAGCUUACUGUCUAGGGGGAUGUAUACAUGUAUGCCUUAUGCAAAAUAAUUUAACUUAUAAAAAGUUAGUUCCAUUUGCGAAUACUAAUGAAUUAGAAGUGAGUAUAGAAAAACCAUAUAACAUGUAGGAAUGACAGAAAUGAUAAAAUUUAGGAAAAAUUUAACCAAAGAGUUACAUAAUGUGUAUAAACAAAACAAUUCAGUUUUAUUUAAAAAACAAAUAGUGCCCAGUUCCUUCAAGACCUUGUAACCCAGGGAAGAUCUGAUUGCAUCUGCUGAAGAGUGGUCAUUACUGUAUUGUUGCAAUGUGCCUUCCCAUGUGUGAUGCCUGGUUGUUACCCUGCAUGUCCCUAGAUUGUUUGUAUGGUUACAUGAGCCUGUAUUACUUAUAUAAUUAAGCAAAGCUUUAAUAAUAAACAAGAAACAGUCAAUAGCAUAAAAUAUCAGUAAGGGAAAGUAGUUAAUAAACUUAUUAAUAAGGUUAAUAAGCACAUUAAUAAAGUUAAUUUGUUUAUGCUCAUCAAGUUAACCACUUGAUAAUAUUGGCAGUAUGUAUUAUAGAGCAGAAGGGUGUCCAGUGAUUAGAUCCAAGUACCAUUGGCCCUUGGCAUCCUUGGGUUCUGCCUCUGUGGAUUCAACCAAUUGGGGAUAGAAGAGCCUACGAUGGUUGUGUCUGUACUGAACAUGCACAGACUUUUUUUUCUUGUCAUUAUUCCCUAAACAAUAUAGUAUAACAACUAUUUACAUAGCAUUUACAUUGUAUUAGGUAUUAUAAGUGAUCUAGAGAUGAUUUAAAGUAUACUGGAGGAUAUGGUAGGUGGUAUGCAAAUCCCGCACCAUUUUAUAUAAGGGACUUGAGCAUCUGAGGAUUUUGGUAUCCACGGGGGUCCUGAAACCAAUCCCCUGCAGAUACCAAGGGAAGAAUGUAUACCCUGAAUCAUUAUUUUCUUUUCAUUUUAGAGACAUAGAAAUGAAAUUUGAACUAGAAAGAACCUGAUUGUCUCUUAGGUGAGAAUGAUUGAACAAAUAAUGUACAUACCAUUUCAAUGUCUCUGUAUAAUAUGUGUAUAUAUAUUAUAUAUAUAAUAUAAUAUAAAGAGAUUGUAA